CCACCCGCUGCAGUGAGUUUGAGCAGAAUGGAGAAUCCCAGUACUUCUCAGGGCUGAGGGAGCUGGCAUCAGCACACAGAGGAAAGGUGGUGGCCAUCGGAGAGUGUGGACUCGAUUUUGACAGAUUGGAAUUUUGCCCCAAAGAGACUCAACUUAAAUUCUUCGAGAAGCAGUUUGACCUGG